AGUGAACGCUGGCGGUGGGCCUAACACAUGCAAGUCGAACGGCAGCACAGUAAGAGCUUGCUCUUACGGGUGGCGGGUGGCGGAAGGGUGAGGCGUACAACGGACUCUACUUUUUCGUGGGGGAUAACGGAGGGAAACUUACGGAAAUACCGCAUACGACCUAAGGGUGAAAGCAUGGGACCUUGCGAACUUGCGCGAUUGAAUGAGUCGGGGUCGGAUUAGCUAGUUGGGGGGGUAUAGGCCCACCAAGGCGACGAUCCGUAGCUGGUCCGAGAGGAUGAUCAGCCACACUGGAACUGAGACACGGUCCAGACUCCUACAGUAGGCAGCAGUCGGGAAUAUUAGACAAUGGGCGCAAGCGUGAUACAGCCAUACCGCGUGAGUGAAGAAGGCCUUCGGGUUGUAAAGCCCUUUUGUUUUGAAAUAAAAGCAGCAGGUUAAGACCCCGCUGUUCUGACGGUACCCAAAGAAGAAGCACCGGCUAACUUCGUG
rnacentral:rRNA from 1 species